UAUAAGUGAGGAAAAAACAUUUUAAUUCCUCAUGUUCGCCUCCACAUAUUCGACACCACAAACCAUAAGAGUGCCGAAAGUAAAAAGAAUUACUAUCACUCAUGUUUGUGUCAGAAAUUACCAACCGCCGGGAUCUAACGGUUCUGUUUUCAGCAACUGAAUCUUGGGCACGGGGGCGUGUUGAGUAGACACGGCCCCGUGUUCAGCCUACUGUCUGACUUAAAACAGGAUUGCCAGUUCCAAUGAUUGAGCACGGGGCGUGUUCAGCGGGCACGGCCCCGUGUUGAGCUCUGCAGAAGCUAAAAAUCUAAGAAAAAUCCUAAAAAAAAUUAAAGAAAAAUAAAAAUAUGAUUAGGCCGUUGAUUCCUAACUUUCUUAAAAUCCUUGUGUCCCCGGCAACGGCGCCAAAAACUUGAUGCGUGUGUAGUGUAAUAUAUUUUUGAUGUAUAUUUAAGCCCCUUUUUACACUUUUAGCCAAGUUUUAAAUUUAUAAAACACGAUAUUCACUAACACUAAACACACAUAUGGGCAAGUGCACCCAUCGUGGACGUAGUAUAGUGUUGGUAAGAUACCGAGGUCGUCCAAGGACACAAGAGCUUUUAAUACCGGUUUAUCCUCAACGUCUAAUCAAAUCAAAAAGUGAGAAAAAUGUUUUAAACUAAGAAAAAUAAAAACUAACUAAAUGCUGAAAAUAAAAAUAAAGUAAAAACAGAUAGACAAGAUGAAUCACUUGGAUCCGACACGUGUAUUAGCCCCUCUUUUGAAGGCGACGUUACCCUCAACCCAGUAGUUUGAGUCAGCAAGGAUACAAUCCUAAAGGGUCGGAUUAUUGAAAGAUAAUGAAUUAAGUUAUUAAUGCAAAUUGUGGUAGGCCCCGCUUUUGGCGGUGACGUUACCCUCGGCUAAGUAGUCUGAGUCAGCAGGGAUACAGUCCUAAAUAGCCGGGUUAUAGUAUUAAUAGUAGUUAACUUAUGAGGGGGUCAAAGAGUUUGGAUCCCCGCCAUCCAAUACCUAUGGGCAUUGAAGGAGAUCCUACUAAAUUUGACCCAGGUCCCAAGCAGGACCUCUAAACGCUGAACAAGGGCAAGACCUUUACCAAACCGUUCCCUUAACCCCCGACCAGGUAGCCAACAUACCUCCAUAUAGACCGUGGAGAUAUGAAUGGUGAAAAUCUUUUAUUUUAUAUAGACAGUAAAAUAAUGCCAAGACACCACGGACAAACGAUAAGGAAAGAUCACCUUCAACAUAAGUAACUAGUUAUUAAAGUCAUUAAUACAAAACCAAAUAAAAAGUGCA
rnacentral:lncRNA from 1 species